CGUAAGGAAACAGACCCAGAAAAAAGUUGCAGGUAACGAUGUCUUACGUGGAAGCCAAGAUAAUGACUUACUGAUAGAAACCCUGUUUUUUUCCGAGGGUACCAGUUCUUCCUAUCGUCUUGGGAAGGAGCAUCAGAAAUUCCAGAGAGACUGAAGCUCCAGACUCUGUGUGUGGCUGGGGAUUUGGACUGCUUUGCAAAUGGGUAUUUCUUCACAAGAACUGUUUCCAGCACUCACUGAGACAGACCUCUCAGUAACUGGAGACCUGACCGGCCUUGCCUACUGAGCUUGGGGGAAAACUGGAUGCAGAUGAGUUGAUUAUAUUCCAUGAAGUCAUAGCUCUCCACCUGCCAGGGUUUAAACUACUUCUGUAGCAUCACUUCACCUGUGGACUCUUUCAAAUUUUGCUUUGUUGGGGGGAAAAAAAAACUGGGGUAAGAAGAGGUUGUUUUUAACAAGUUAUCAUCCUCUCCCUCCCUUAUAAGUUGCUGCAAAGGAUCAGGCUGUGACUCCAUUGGGUCGCUCCUUCACAUCAAAAUAGGAGA
rnacentral:lncRNA from 1 species